CUCUCUCGCAAUCCACUCCCCACUCCUUAUCCCAGCCCCUUCAAAACCCAGAUCCCAAUCCCUCUCUCUGUUGUGAAAAUUAAUUUGUUGAGAAAUAAAUCAAUCAGAGAGAGAGCUUGACGCAUGAGCGAAUCGGAUCGAAUCGUAUCUUUCUUCUUCUUCGAUGGACUCUGAGUUCUGGACCUCUCGCUUCGCCGCCGCCAAACGCCAGUACACGUUGCAGCAUCAUCACCAGAGCUCCCACUUUGAUCGGCUAAGCAUCGAUGAUUUCGAGGUUGAAGACAGGGUCCAACUAUCCGACUGCCCAUAUUGUUAUGAGGACUCGACAUCGUGUCCUUGUGCUCGCACCUCGAAGACAAGCACUCUUGCGAAUCUAAAGUCACCGUAUGUGUUUAAUGAUGAGGAAUAGCUGCCCUUCAAACCUCAGAACCUGAUCCUGACUGAUGCCAAGGAAUGGUUCACAAAUGCUAUUAUGUUCCUAACUCCAAGACUACCAGAGUUCCCGUUUCUCUGGUGUGGGAACCCCCAAAUUUUGGCUAUUUUAAACUAAAUGUCGACGGCUCUCGAAAACCUGCUACUGGGGCUAUUGGUGCCGACGAUGUUAUUUGCAACUCUGAUGGGGAGUGGAUUGCUGGAUUUACAGUCAACUUAGGCAAGGGUCAGAUCCUAGAUGCAGAAAGCUGGGGGCUGGCUUUUGGUCUUAAGCUUGCAGUUGAUCAUGGGAUUCCUAACCUUAUUGUGGAAAUGGAUUCAACAACGACUGUGAAUCUCCUGAUAUCAUUAAUUUUCACCCUCUUGCUGGUGUGAUUUGUAGUUGCAAGGAAUACAUGGAGAAAAUCAACAAGAGCUUUGGAUUUUUUUAGUCUAAAGGACUCGAAUGGACGCUUUUGCCCCUCAUUUUGACAGACAAAUUGACAAAGUUGGACAGUAGGAUCCAAUUGCAACUAUUUGUACAAUUAAAGGAUGUAAUUGGUGCAAAAAAAAGUUCACAGACCCAAUUACAACUGGGGGUCAAGUUCAGGGAUGUUUACAGUAAAUAACCCAUGUUUGUUUCUAGUUCAUACUUUAUAGUCGUAUGUUCAAAGAUCUUAUUGAAAUAAAUAACACGAAUUAGUUA